rnacentral:rRNA from 1 species
AUUGAACGCUGGCGGCAGGCUUAACACAUGCAAGUCGAACGGUAGCAGGAAGAAAGCUUGCUUUCUUUGCUGACGAGUGGCGGACGGGUGAGUAAUGCUUGGGAAUCUGGCUUAUGGAGGGGGAUAACUGUGGGAAACUGCAGCUAAUACCGCGUAAUCUCUGAGGAGUAAAGGGUGGGACCUAUUGGCCACCUGCCAUAAGAUGAGCCCAAGUGGGAUUAGGUAGUUGGUGGGGUAAAGGCCUACCAAGCCUGCGAUCUCUAGCUGGUCUGAGAGGAUGACCAGCCACACUGGAACUGAGACACGGUCCAGACUCCUACGGGAGGCAGCAGUGGGGAAUAUUGCGCAAUGGGGGGAACCCUGACGCAGCCAUGCCGCGUGAAUGAAGAAGGCCUUCGGGUUGUAAAGUUCUUUCGGUAAUGAGGAAGGGAUGUUGUUUAAUAGAUGGCAUCAUUGACGUUAAUUACAGAAGAAGCACCGGCUAACUCCGUGCCAGCAGCCGCGGUAAUACGGAGGGUGCGAGCGUUAAUCGGAAUAACUGGGCGUAAAGGGCACGCAGGCGGACUUUUAAGUGAGAUGUGAAAUCCCCGAGCUUAACUUGGGAAUUGCAUUUCAGACUGGGAGUCUAGAGUACUUUAGGGAGGGGUAGAAUUCCACGUGUAGCGGUGAAAUGCGUAGAGAUGUGGAGGAAUACCGAAGGCGAAGGCAGCCCCUUGGGAAUGUACUGACGCUCAUGUGCGAAAGCGUGGGGAGCAAACAGGAUUAGAUACCCUGGUAGUCCACGCUGUAAACGCUGUCGAUUUGGGGAUUGGGCUAUAUGCUUGGUGCCCGAAGCUAACGUGAUAAAUCGACCGCCUGGGGAGUACGGCCGCAAGGUUAAAACUCAAAUGAAUUGACGGGGGCCCGCACAAGCGGUGGAGCAUGUGGUUUAAUUCGAUGCAACGCGAAGAACCUUACCUACUCUUGACAUCCAGAGAAGCUUGCAGAGAUGCGAGUGUGCCUUCGGGAGCUCUGAGACAGGUGCUGCAUGGCUGUCGUCAGCUCGUGUUGUGAAAUGUUGGGUUAAGUCCCGCAACGAGCGC